GAAAAAUUCUGUUAUGCUGAAGUGGGCUGAAUCGUUGUCAAUGUUUUCAUUUAUUAUGGCCACUGGGGACAGGUCAUUUUCAUGCGUGGCUAGCUUUUCAAUGAAAGUUUUUUGGAGCCUUAACCCAUAGGAGCAUAGAGGUUUGUAGAUGACUUUUCUUUCACAGAUUUCCAAUUCUUUGGCCACAGUGGGGGAGAUGGUGAACAAAAUUGGAAAGCCGUAGAUUAGCACCGGUCUAAUAGCCACCUUAUAGAGCAGUAGUUUAGUGGACUGCGGCAAGUAUUAACUAUUUAGUAUAUAUGAAAAUGACCCCAAAAUUCUUCUCGUCUUUUGCAGUACUUGUCUGGCAUGCAUGUUGAACUUUAACAUCUUUUUAAAUGUAAUGCCAAGAUAUUUGAUUUUGGAUUCAACAGGAAUUAUGACGCCAUUCAGAGAGAGGUUAAGUGUUUUACUCUGGGGUACCACGAAUCUUGGACAUUUGCCAGAGGCGUUACUGAUACAAAUCGCAAGAGAUUUGGCAGCGUUUAUUCUAAUGCCCCACUUGUCAUAAUACUCGUUGAUGAGUCUCAGGUGUGCAGAUGCUUUUUCAAGGGCGAUUUCUGGAGAUAUAUCAUGGGCAUAGAUAAGGCAGUCAUCCGCAUAUAAAAUGGCCUGCGAAUCUUGUGCUGCAUGAGGAAAGUCAUGAAGAAAUAUAUUGAAAAAAAGUGGAGCCAACACACUUCCUUGUGGUACUCCACUUUCGACGGCUCCUAAGGCAGAUAUUGUACCUUGUAUAUCGACACAAAAUCGUCUGUUCGUGAAGUAGUUGGCCAAAAUCUUCACAAUAUGGGGAUCAGUCUCCAACUGAAUAAGUUUAUAUAAAAUGCCCAAAUGACAGACUGAGUCAAAUGCUUUUUCUAUAUCAAGUGAUAUAGCAAAAGUGCAUGAUUGAUUGCGUAGAUUGAUAGAGAUGUCAUGAUGAAAUUUAAGCAGUUGCUGGACGAGCUCAAAUACUUUCCCAAUGUUGGAUAAGAGGGAGAUCGGACGAUAAUCGGACGGAAUCAUACAAUCAGUUUUCUUUUUGAUUGGAAUUAUCUUUGCAACUUUCCAAUCCGACGGAAUGUAGCCAUUGUUUAUACAGUGAUUGAAAAUCAAUCAUUCGUGAAGUGGAAAUUAUCUUGGUUGUGGACUGCGUUGAAUUCAUCGUUAAAGGUAUAAAUAUGGCGAGGAAUGACAUUUAUACAAUCUGAUAUUCUCGAAUGUAAAUCUCUAACUGGGUGCAAAGGCAGUCUUUUUCGGAAAGUUUCUGAAUAAAAUUCUUGGAAUUGGUGUGCAAUAUCGUAGCUGUUGGUGACAUUCCUGAAUGAAGCCAAAGUCUAUUUUAUUCCGAUGCAGUCAGUUUUUAAGGUCGAUUUAAUAGGCGCAAAAAUUCGAUUUUGGCCUCUGUUUUCGGCAUAUUUGAAUACUCAGAUAAAAAUAUGUUGAUCUCUUGCUCCAAAGUCAACUCUUCAGGUUCCAGAAAUAGAGAAGCUAAUUUCAAGAAUUGGUCAAUGACAGGUGGUCUCUGUUGCUGAACAGUGUUCUGUGCAGGACGUGAAUUAAAAAGGUUGGAAAUGUGUGGCCAGGAGUUAUCGCAGACAAGCCUACCGCCCUAGUGACAUUGUUCCUAGCAAGAGAUUUCUCCUCAAUUGCCUUGGCUACUCUUUGCUGACGGGCAGCAACAUGUUUCUGAUACGCUGGACAUCCCCGCCAGUUCACCGGGUGUCCCACCUCACCACAAUUGGUACAAUAUGGAUCUGACGAAUCCUCCUUAGUGCGUUGACACUCCCCAGGAUCAAUCUUUUCUCCUCGGCUUUUCCCAGGAGACUAUUUGACUUUGUAGGCCCCUAAUACCAGAGAUAUCGGACAGGCCCUUAUCAGGAAAUAAGGAUACCAAGAAAAGGCCAGUAUUAUUGUUUCUUUGAGUUUUAUAGAUUGUAACAUUUGUCUCAGUGUUCGGGACAAUUUCAUCCAAUUCUUCCUUUAUAUCCUUUA
rnacentral:sRNA from 1 species